rnacentral:rRNA from 1 species
UACGGAGGGGGCUAGCGUUGUUCGGAAUUACUGGGCGUAAAGCGCGCGUAGGCGGACCUGCAAGUCGGGGGUGAAAGCCCGAGGCUCAACCUCGGAACUGCCUUCGAUACUGCGGGUCUCGAGUCCGGGAGAGGUGAGUGGAAUUCCUAGUGUAGAGGUGAAAUUCGUAGAUAUUAGGAAGAACACCAGUGGCGAAGGCGGCUCACUGGCUCGGUACUGACGCUGAGGAGCGAAAGCGUGGGGAGCGAACAGG